rnacentral:rRNA from 1 species
AGAGCGAACGCUGGCGGCAGGCUUAACACAUGCAAGUCGAGCGGCCGUAGCAAUACGGCAGCGGCAGACGGGAGAGUAACACGUGGGAACGUGCCUAUCAGUUCGGAACAACCCAGGGAAACUUGGGCUAAUACCGGAUACGCCCUUACGGGGAAAGAUUUAUCGCUGAUAGAGCGGCCCGCGUCUGAUUAGCUAGUUGGUGAGGUAACGGCUCACCAAGGCGACGAUCAGUAGCUGGUCUGAGAGGAUGAUCAGCCUCACUGGGACUGAGACACGGCCCAGACUCCUACGGGAGGCAGCAGGUGGGAAUAUGGACAGGUGGGCGCAAGCCUGAUCAGCCAUGCCGCGUGGAUGAUGAAGGCCGUUAGGGUUAGUAAAAUUCCGUUUCGGGCGGGAAGAUAAUGACGUACCCGCGAGAAGACGCCCGCUAACUCGUGCC